CCUACGGGAGGCAGCAGUCGGGAAUAUUGCGCAAUGGAGGAAACUCUGACGCAGUGACGCCGCGUGCAGGAAGAAGGUCUUCGGAUUGUAAACUGCUGUUGAUAGGGAAGAAACAAGACAGUAGUUGUAAAUUAAGCUUCGGCUAACUACGUCCCAGCAGCCGCGGUAAUACGCAUGGAGCAAGCGUUAUCCGGAUUUAUUGGGUGUAAAGGGUGCGUAGAGGGGAAGUCAAGUUGGUUGUGAAAUCCCUCGGCUUAACUGAGGAACUGCAAUUGAAACUAACAUGCUUGAGUGCUGGAGAGGAAAGUGGAAUUCCUAGUGUAGCGGUGAAAUGCGUAGAUAUAAGGAAGAACACCAGUGGCGAAGGCGACUUUCUGGACAGUAACUGACGUUGAGGCACGAAAGUGUGGGGAGCAAACAGGAUUAGAUACCCUAGUAGUC
rnacentral:rRNA from 1 species